ensembl:lncRNA
AUGGCACAAGCUGCAGAGGGAAUUGCCUGUGGUCAGCAUCUUGGCCUAAUUAGAAAGAUUCCACAAAGGCAAAGGGGAAGCUUACAUGAAGCAGACCUGAGUUCCUGCUAUUACUUAUGUGCAACAUCAGAAAGAGAAUUCCAUGAUAAGUGUGGACAGUCUCUAAGGUUUGAGGCUCACCAUAUGAAGGAAUGUUUUCCUGGAAAGCUCUUCUUCUCCAGUCUGGCAUUCAUCCUUCUGAAACAUUUACCCUUCUGUCAGCUGGUCCUCUGGCCUAUUAAAACCAGAUCCCAGCUGGGAUGCCUUACACUGGUGACUUGGAGAACAAGAAAACAGUGCUACUUCUUCCUUCAUAACAAUAUAACUGAUGGGCUCAACAUUGUAAUCAGGCAAAGAUAUUUACCUGUUGGGCAAACAAGGAAGCCUGCAUUCUCUGAAGAAAGGAUUAGAGGAACAGUCUAA